GGAAGGUCCGGGCGUUAUCCGGAUUUAUUGGGUUUAAAGGGAGCGUAGGCCGGAGAUUAAGCGUGUUGUGAAAUGUAGACGCUCAACGUCUGCACUGCAGCGCGAACUGGUUUCCUUGAGUACGCACAAAGUGGGCGGAAUUCGUGGUGUAGCGGUGAAAUGCUUAGAUAUCACGAAGAACUCCGAUUGCGAAGGCAGCUCACUGGAGCGCAACUGACGAA
rnacentral:rRNA from 1 species